rnacentral:rRNA from 1 species
AGUGAACGCUGGCGGUAGGCCUAACACAUGCAAGUCGAACGGCAGCACAGUAAGAGCUUGCUCUUACGGGUGGCGAGUGGCGGACGGGUGAGGAAUGCAUCGGAAUCUACUUUUUCGUGGGGGAUAACGUAGGGAAACUUACGCUAAUACCGCAUACGACCUACGGGUGAAAGUAGGGGAUCUUCGGACCUUGCGCGAUUGAAUGAGCCGAUGUCGGAUUAGCUAGUUGGCGGGGUAAAGGCCCACCAAGGCGACGAUCCGUAGCUGGUCUGAGAGGAUGAUCAGCCACACUGGAACUGAGACACGGUCCAGACUCCUACGGGAGGCAGCAGUGGGGAAUAUUGGACAAUGGGCGCAAGCCUGAUCCAGCCAUACCGCGUGGGUGAAGAAGGCCUUCGGGUUGUAAAGCCCUUUUGUUGGGAAAGAAAAGCAGCAGGUUAAUACCCCGCUGUUCUGACGGUACCCAAAGAAUAAGCACCGGCUAACUUCGUG